GGCCCUAUCGUCUAACGGUUAGGACAGAUCCUUCUCAAGGAUUAAAUCGGGGUUCGAUUCCCCGUAGGGCUG
rnacentral:tRNA from 1 species